GGGAGAUUAGUGUAGUGGUUAUCAUACUUGCCUUCCAAGCAGGUGACAUGGGUUCGAUUCCCGUAUCUCUCA
rnacentral:tRNA from 5 species